rnacentral:lncRNA from 1 species
GUGCCAAGGGGAGCUUGGCUGUUCACGGGCCUCACCUGCUAGCGAGAAGAUAGCUUGGCCGGGCGGCUGAUCUCACCUUGUAAUUCUGACACUGUGUCUCCCGGGCUUGUCGGCUUCAUGACUUGUGCCCAAAGUUUGAUUUCUCGCAGACCAGGAGGACCCAUUGGACCCCCGGGCUGGCUGCAGGGCCCACACCUGGGUUAGACCUCGCACAGGGACGCUGCUGCCACUGUAAUAAAGCGUGCCUACACGCUUCUGAAACUGGUGUAGGAACAACCUCAGUUCUGUGAAAGGCGGACGCAGCAGGACAGAAUCUCCGUGGACAUCUGUCUGGAGGAGCAAUUUUACUGCGACAUUUUAAAGAAACAAAUUUAAUUGAUUUCCAAGGGUGUCCAUCGCGCUUCCUUCACUGCCUUGAUCAUGUCGGGGUCACCACCUGCGGGGGUUUGUCCUGCAGACCCUGACUCAACGACGGAUGAAUAAUGUACACUGACACAGAUCUUAUGCUUGUCAGUCCUGCUGAGCAUCCAGGCCACUUACAGACUCCAAGAAGAGUCCUGUCAGCCACGGCUCUGACUUGUUGGCCCUCCCGGCAUUUAUUUAGCACACAUUUAAUGACAGAAGUCUCAGGCUGGAAACACUCUUUUUGUAGAACAUACAAAUGGACAUUUCUAAGCACAUUGAGGCCUAUAAUGAAAAAUCAAAUAUCCCACAAUGAAAACUAGAAGGAAGCUAUCUGUGAUAAUGCUUUGUGGUGUAUGGAUUCAUCUCACUGACUGAAACCUGAGUUUUGAUUCACCAGAAUCUAUGCAGGGACAUUUUUGUGCUCAUUGAGGCCUACUGUGAAAAACCAAACAUCAGGGGUGGAGCCAAAAAAGCCAAAUAGGAACAGCUCCAGUCUACAGCUCCCAGCAUGAGCCACACAGAAGAUGGAUGAUUUCUGCAUUUCCAACUGAGAAUCUAUGAAGGGACAUCAUUUCUGAGCCCAUUGAGACUUGUAGUGAAAAACCAAGCAUCCCCUGAUAAAUAGGUAGUAGAAACAAACUACCUAUGAAAAUGCUUUUUGAUUUGUGGAUUUAUCUCACAGUGUUAAAUUUUUGAUUUGAUUCAACUGGUUGAAAACAUUCUUUAUGUAGAAUCUAUGAAGAGACGUUUUUGAGCUUAUCGAGAUGUAAGGUUGAAAGCAUUCUUUUUGUAGAAUCUAUGAAAAGACAUUUCUGAGCUUAUUCUGGUUUAUAGAGUAAAACCGAAUAUCCUGAAAUAAAAA